UACGGAGGGUGCAAGCGUUAUCCGGAUUUACUGGGUUUAAAGGGUGCGUAGGUGGGUAGGUAAGUCAGUGGUGAAAAUCUUCGAGCUUAACUCGGAAACUGCCAUUGAUACUAUUUAUCUUGAAUACUUUGGAGGUAAGCGGAAUAUGUCAUGUAGCGGUGAAAUGCUUAGAUAUGACAUAGAACACCAAUUGCGAAGGCAGCUUACUACACAGUUAUUGACACUGAGGCACGAAAGCGUGGGGAUCAAACAGG
rnacentral:rRNA from 1 species